rnacentral:lncRNA from 1 species
CUUUCCUACAAUACAGCCUCUAACAAAACUAGGCUGCCCUGAACCCCUGGUGAUAGAAUUGUUUACAUUUACACCAAAAAGGUCGAGAAAGAACUGAAAUCUCUUGUGGCUUGUGUUCAGGCUGACUUGGAGAGAGAGGCCGAUGCUUUAAGACCUAAAGUUCUCAUGAGGUAGUCUGAAAUGAAACACACAUGCCAAGCAGGGCUUAUGGUGGUUCCAUGUCUGCUAAAUAUGUCUGUGACAGGAUCCAACGUGCUUUCUUUGUGGAGAAGCAGAAAAUCAUUGUCAAUGUGUUAAAGGCACAAGCAGAGAGUCAGAAAAGUUGA